GACGGAGGGUGCUAGCGUUGUUCGGAAUCACUGGGCGUAAAGGGCGCGUAGGCGGCGGUUCAAGUCGGAUGUGAAAGCCCGGGGCUCAACCCCGGAGGUGCAUCCGAGACUGAUCUGCUGGAGGCCGGAAGAGGAGGGUGGAAUACCCAGUGUAGAGGUGAAAUUCGUAGAUAUUGGGUGGAACACCGGUGGCGAAAGCGGCUCUCUGGUCCGGACCUGACGCUGAGGCGCGAAAGCGUGGGGAGCAAACAGG
rnacentral:rRNA from 2 species